AACGAACGCUGGCGGCAUGCCUAACACAUGCAAGUCGAACGGUGCCUUCGGGCACAGUGGCGCACGGGUGAGUAACACGUGGGAACCUGCCUUUCGGUUCGGAAUAACGUUUGGAAACGAACGCUAACACCGGAUAAGCCCUCAGGGGGAAAGUUUACGCCGAGAGAGGGGCCCGCGUCGGAUUAGGUAGUUGGUGAGGUAACGGCUCACCAAGCCGACGAUCCGUAGCUGGUCUGAGAGGAUGAUCAGCCACACUGGGACUGAGACACGGCCCAGACUCCUACGGGAGGCAGCAGUGGGGAAUAUUGGACAAUGGGCGCAAGCCUGAUCCAGCAAUGCCGCGUGAGUGAUGAAGGCCUUAGGGUUGUAAAGCUCUUUCGCACGCGACGAUGAUGACGGUAGCGUGAGAAGAAGCCCCGGCUAACUUCGUGCCAGCCGCCGCUGUAAUAC
rnacentral:rRNA from 1 species